rnacentral:rRNA from 1 species
CCUACGGGUGGCAGCAGUGGGGAAUAUUGGGCAAUGGGCGCAAGCCUGACCCAGCAACGCCGCGUGAAGGAAGAAGGCCCUCGGGUUGUAAACUUCUUUUGUCAGGGACGAAGCAAGUGACGGUACCUGACGAAUAAGCCACGGCUAACUACGUGCCAGCAGCCGCGGUAAUACGUAGGUGGCAAGCGUUAUCCGGAUUUACUGGGUGUAAAGGGCGUGUAGGCGGGGAAGCAAGUCAGAUGUGAAAUUCCAGGGCUCAACCCUGGAACUGCAUUUGAAACUGUUUUUCUUGAGUGAUGGAGAGGCAGGCGGAAUUCCGUGUGUAGCGGUGAAAUGCGUAGAUAUACGGAGGAACACCAGUGGCGAAGGCGGCCUGCUGGACAUUAACUGACGCUCAUGCACGAAAGCGUGGGUAUCGAACAGGAUUAGAUACCCCUGUAGUC